UACGGGGGGAGCAAGCGUUGUUCGGAGUUAUUGGGCGUAAAGGGCGUACAGGCGGUGGUGUAAGUCAGAUGUGAAAUGUUCCGGCUCAACCGGGACCCUGCAUUUGAUACUGCAUCACUUGAGUACAGGAGAGGAGAGCGGAAUUCUCGGUGUAGCGGUGGAAUGUGUAGAUAUCGGGAAGAACACCAGUGGCGAAGGCGGCUCUCUGGCCUGAUACUGACGCUGACGCGCGAAAGCUAGGGAAGCAAACAGG
rnacentral:rRNA from 1 species